rnacentral:tRNA from 1 species
GCAUCCGUAGCUCAGCUGGAUAGAGUACUCGGCUACGAACCGAGCGGUCGGAGGUUCGAAU